AGCGAACGCUGGCGGCAGGCCUAACACAUGCAAGUCGAGCGCCGUAGCAAUACGGAGCGGCAGACGGGAGAGUAACACGUGGGAACGUACCCUUUGGUUCGGAACAACACAGGGAAACUUGUGCUAAUACCGGAUAAGCCCUUACGGGGAAAGAUUUAUCGCCGAAGGAUCGGCCCGCGUCUGAUUAGCUUGUUGGUGAGGUAACGGCUCACCAAGGCUACGAUCAGUAGCUGGUCUGGGAGGAUGAUCAGCCACACUGGGACUGAGACACGGCCCAGACUCCUACGGGAGGCAGCAGUGGGGAAUAUUGGACAAUGGGCGCAAGCCUGAUCCAGCCAUGCCGCGUGAGUGAUGAAGGCCCUAGGGUUGUAAAGCUCUUUCGGCGGGGAAGAUAAUGACGGUACCCGCAUAAGAAGCCCCGGCUAACUUCGUGCCAGCAGCCGCGGUAAGAC
rnacentral:rRNA from 1 species